UGGGUUAAGUCCCGUAACGAGCGCAACCCUUGUCCUUAGUUACCAGCACGUUAUGGUGGGCACUCUAAGGAGACUGCCGGUGACAAACCGGAGGAAGGUGGGGAUGACGUCAAGUCAUCAUGGCCCUUACGGCCUGGGCUACACACGUGCUACAAUGGUCGGUACAAAGGGUUGCCAAGCCGCGAGGUGGAGCUAAUCCCAUAAAACCGACCGUAGUCCGGAUCGCAGUCUGCAACUCGACUGCGUGAAGUCGGAAUCGCUAGUAAUCGUGAAUCAGAAUGUCACGGUGAAUACGUUCCCGGGCCUU
rnacentral:rRNA from 1 species